rnacentral:rRNA from 1 species
AAAUAGACCCUGAAACCGUAUGCUUACAAAAAGUAGGAGCCUCGUAAGGGGUGACUGCGUACCUUUUGUAUAAUGGGUCAGCGACUUACAUUCAGUGGCAAGGUUAACCGAAUAGGGAAGCCGUAGAGAAAUCGAGUCCGAAUAGGGCGAAUUAGUCGCUGGGUGUAGACCCGAAACCAAGUGAUCUAUCCAUGGGCAGGAUGAAGGUGCCGUAACAGGUACUGGAGGUCCGAACCGACUAAUGUUGCAAAAUUAGCGGAUGACCUGUGGAUAGGGGUGAAAGGCUAAACAAACUUGGAAAUAGCUGGUUCUCUCCGAAAACUAUUUAGGUAGUGCCUCAAGUAUUACCUGCGGGGGUAGAGCACUGUUUUGGCUAGGGGGUCAUGGCGACUUACCAAACCAAUGCAAACUCCGAAUACCGCAGAGUACAGCUUGGGAGACAGAGCACCGGGUGCUAACGUCCGGACUCAAGAGGGAAACAACCCAGACCGCCAGCUAAGGUCCCUAAAAUUGGCUAAGUGGGAAACGAAGUGGGAAGGCUAAAACAGUCAGGAUGUUGGCUUAGAAGCAGCCAUCAUUUAAAGAAAGCGUAAUAGCUCACUGAUCGAGUCGUCCUGCGCGGAAGAUGUAACGGGGCUAAGCCAGUUACCGAAGCUGCGGAUUUGCAAUUUAUUGCAAGUGGUAGGAGAGCGUUCUGUAAGCCUGUGAAGGUGCGUUGUAAAGCGUGCUGGAGGUAUCAGAAGUGCGAAUGCUGACACGAGUAGCGUUAAAGGGGGUGAAAAGCCCCCUCGCCGUAAGCGCAAGGUUUUCUACGCAACGUUCAUCGGCGUAGAGUGAGUCGGCCCCUAAGGCGAGGCAGAGAUGCGUAGUUGAUGGGAAACAGGUCAAUAUUCCUGUACCGAUGUGUAGUGCGGUGUGGGGACGGAGAAGGUUAGCUCAGCAGACUGUUGGAUAUGUCUGUUCAAGCCUGUAGUCGUGCCUGGUAGGUAAAUCCGCCGGGCUUAGAUGAGGGGUGAUAACGAGGAUGCUUGCAUCCGAAGUGAGUGAUACCCUGCUUCCAGGAAAAGCCACUAAGCUUCAGCUACACACGACCGUACCGCAAACCGACACUGGUGCGCGAGAUGAGUAUUCUAAGGCGCUUGAGAGAACUCAGGAGAAGGAACUCGGCAAAUUGACACCGUAACUUCGGAAGAAGGUGUGUCUUUAGUAUGUGAACCUGAACAAGGGGAGCAGAAUGAGGCCUCAGAGAAUCGGUGGCUGCGACUGUUUAAUAAAAACACAGCACUCUGCAAACACGAAAGUGGACGUAUAGGGUGUGACGCCUGCCCGGUGCUGGAAGAUUAAAUGAUGGGGUGCAAGCUCUUGAUUGAAGUCCCAGUAAACGGCGGCCGUAACUAUAACGGUCCUAAGGUAGCGAAAUUCCUUGUCGGGUAAGUUCCGACCUGCACGAAUGGCGUAACGAUGGCCACACUGUCUCCUCCUGAGACUCAGCGAAGUUGAAAUGUUUGUGAUGAUGCAAUCUCCCCGCGGAAAGACGGAAAGACCCCAUGAACCUUUACUGUAGCUUUGUAUUGGACUUUGAACAGAUCUGUGUAGGAUAGGUGGGAGGCUUUGAAGCCGGAACGCUAGUUUCGGUGGAGCCAACGUUGAAAUACCACCCUGGUGUGUUUGAGGUUCUAACCUAGGUCCAUUAUCUGGAUCGGAGACAGUGCAUGGUAGGCAGUUUGACUGGGGCGGUCUCCUCCCAAAGCGUAACGGAGGAGUUCGAAGGUACGCUAGUUACGGUCGGACAUCGUGAUGAUAGUGCAAUGGCAUAAGCGUGCUUAACUGCGAGACUGACAAGUCGAGCAGAUACGAAAGUAGGACAUAGUGAUCCGGUGGUUCUGUAUGGAAGGGCCAUCGCUCAACGGAUAAAAGGUACUCUGGGGAUAACAGGCUGAUACCGCCCAAGAGUUCAUAUCGACGGCGGUGUUUGGCACCUCGAUGUCGGCUCAUCUCAUCCUGGGGCUGUAGCCGGUCCCGAGGGUAUGGCUGUUCGCCAUUUAAAGAGGUACGUGAGCUGGGUUUAAAACGUCGUGAGACAGUUUGGUCCCUAUCUUCCGUGGGCGCUG